rnacentral:rRNA from 1 species
CAGUAGCCACGGUAAUACAGAGGGUGCGAGCGUUAAUCGGAUUUACUGGGCGUAAAGCGUGCGUAGGCGGCUUUUUAAGUCGGAUGUGAAAUCCCUGAGCUUAACUUAGGAAUUGCAUUCGAUACUGGGAAGCUAGAGUAUGGGAGAGGAUGGUAGAAUUCCAGGUGUAGCGGUGAAAUGCGUAGAGAUCUGGAGGAAUACCGAUGGCGAAGGCAGCCAUCUGGCCUAAUACUGACGCUGAGGUACGAAAGCAUGGGGAGCAAACAGGAUUAGAGACCCGUGUAGUUCCUGUCUCUUAUAC